AUUUAAGGUGCGGGUUCAGGGAGCAGAUUAGACCAACGAAGGGUCUUAAAUUACUGAGAAUGAAGCAUCCACGAUGCCAAAGAUGGAAAACUGCUGUGUACGUCGUACGUGCUCAGCAUAUGGCAGCUACAGGAAUACAUCUUGGAGUGGAGCAGUCCAUCAUGAGUUGAUUGAAACUGCCAGUUCCUGCAGCUUUAUGUGCUACCAAGCAGAGAUCACGUUCCCACCUGUACUGCAGUUUUUGCUAGACAAGGUGUUUUGAUUAGAGCCACUGGAAUCAAGGUAUAUGUACCUUCUGAUAAAAGUCCCUUAAAGUGGUGUAGGAUAAAGAGCCUCCUCUCACAGAUGACCAGGAGGAAUCUUGGAGAGCUGCAGAUUCAGCACGGUGAAGUAUGCGGAGGUCAGACACAGAUGAGUCCCAGAUGAAGAGCCUUUACAGAAAAUUCAGUUGUGGCUGUUCAAACAUGUCACUCGUGUGGUUUUGAACUUGAUUUGAAAUUUCAGUUGCCUUUUGCAGUGUGCACAUUCCGUUUUAAAUCUCCUUGUUACACUGUAUCUCUGGAUGCUUUCAUCAUGCAUUCCUGCAAACUUAUUCCUCUUACUUGUUGCACUACCUAAUAAAACUAAUAUUUUAUGGUGGAUUCAGAUGUCAUUCUUACAAUGCUAAAGAAUUUUAUUUCAGUACAAGUGAAAUUGGAAACAAGUUAUUGGAAAAUUAUUCAUGAGCUGCUAUUGUGGUUACCCAGCACAGUUCCUUUUAAAGGAGAUUUUUGCAUGUUAAGUCCCUUUUUUUUAAAUGUGAUUCUAAAAUCCUGCAGCUUCUCAGUCUAUUACAUUUAAAAUCUCUUGCAGAGGGACCAUGUUUGUCAUUGCUCCGGGU